GAUGAACGCUAGCGGCAGGCUUAAUACAUGCAAGUCGAGGGGCAGCAUGAUUGUAGCAAUACAAUUGAUGGCGACCGGCAAACGGGUGCGGAACACGUACACAACCUUCCAAUAAGUGGGGAAUAGCCCAGAGAAAUUUGGAUUAAUACCCCGUAACAUAACGAUGUGGCAUCACAUUGUUAUUAUAGAUUUUUCGCUUAUUGAUGGGUGUGCGGCUGAUUAGAUAGUUGGCGGGGUAACGGCCCACCAAGUCUACGAUCAGUAGCUGAUGUGAGAGCGUGAUCAGCCACACGGGAACGGAGACACGGGCCCGACUCCUACGGGAGGCAGCAGUAAGGAAUAUUGGACAAUGGACGCAAGUCUGAUCCAGCCAUGCCGCGUGAAGGACUAAGGUCCUCUGGAUUGUAAACUUCUUUUAUAAGGGACGAAAAAAGGCUUUUCUAAGUCGUCUGACGGUACCUUAUGAAUAAGCACCGGCUAACUCCGUGCCAGCCGUCGCUGUAACAC
rnacentral:rRNA from 1 species